rnacentral:rRNA from 1 species
GACGAGGGAUCCUAGCGUUGUUCGGAAUCAUUGGGCGUAAAGCGGGUGUAGGCGGCUCUGUAAGUCAGAUGUGAAAGCCCUGGGCUCAACCCGGGAAGUGCAUUUGAUACUGUAGAGCUUGAGUGUGGGAGAGGCUAGUGGAAUUCCUGGUGUAGUGGUGAAAUACGUAGAUAUCAGGAGGAACAUCGGUGGCGAAGGCGGCUAGCUGGCCCAACACUGACGCUGAGAUCCGAAAGCGUGGGGAUCAAACAGG